rnacentral:tRNA from 1 species
UGGCUCAGUCAGAAGAGCAUGUGACUUUUGAUCUCGAGGUCGUGGGUUCGAGCCCCAC